ACUAACGCUGGCGGUGCGUCUUAAACAUGCAAGUCGAAUGGUAACGCGGGGGCAACCCUGGCGACGAGUGGCAAACGGGUGAGUAACACGUAGGUAAUCUGCCUUCAGGUGGGGAAUAACCCGGGGAAACCCGGGCUAAUACCGCAUACAUUCAACCUUUCCACGGACUGGUUGCGGAAAGCCUUCGGGCGCCUGAAGAUGAGCCUGCGCUCCAUUAGGCAGUUGGCGGGGUAACGGCCCACCAAGACAAUACCAACGAUGGAUAGCCGGCCUGAGAGGGUGAUCGGCCACAUUGGGACUGAGAUACGGCCCAAACUCCUACGGGAGGCAGCAGUUAAGAAUCUUGCGCAAUGGGGGGCAACCCUGACGCAGCGACACCGCGUGUGUGAUGAAGGCCUCGGUUGUAAG
rnacentral:rRNA from 1 species